rnacentral:rRNA from 1 species
GAUGAACGCUGGCGGCGUGCCUAAUACAUGCAAGUCGAGCGAACAGACGAGGAGCUUGCUCCUUUGACGUUAGCGGCGGACGGGUGAGUAACACGUGGGUAACCUACCUAUAAGACUGGGAUAACUUCGGGAAACCGGAGCUAAUACCGGAUAAUAUUUCGAACCGCAUGGUUCGAUAGUGAAAGAUGGCUUUGCUAUCACUUAUAGAUGGACCUGCGCCGUAUUAGCUAGUUGGUAAGGUAACGGCUUACCAAGGCAACGAUACGUAGCCGACCUGAGAGGGUGAUCGGCCACACUGGAACUGAGACACGGUCCAGACUCCUACGGGAGGCAGCAAUAGGGAAUCUUCCGCAAUGGGCGAAAGCCUGACGGAGCAACGCCGCGUGAGUGAUGAAGGUCUUCGGAUCGUAAAACUCUGUUAUUAGGGAAGAACAAACGUGUAAGUAACUGUGCACGUCUUGACGGUACCUAAUCAGAAAGCCACGGCUAACUACGUG